rnacentral:rRNA from 1 species
ACGGGUGAGUAACGCGUGGGAAUCUGCCCUCAGGAGGGGGAUAACGGCUGGAAACGGCCGCUAAUACCCCAUAUGCCGAGAGGUGAAAUGAAUUUCGCCUGAGGAUGAGCCCGCGUCUGAUUAGCUAGUUGGUGAGGUAAGAGCUCACCAAGGCAUCGAUCAGUAGCUGGUCUGAGAGGAUGAUCAGCCACACUGGGACUGAGACACGGCCCAGACUCCUACGGGAGGCAGCAGUGGGGAAUUUUCCGCAAUGGGCGAAAGCCUGACGGAGCAACGCCGCGUGAGGGAUGAAGGCCUCCGGGCUGUAAACCUCUUUUCUCAAGGAAGAAGAUCUGACGGUACCUGAGGAAUAAGCCACGGCUAAUUCCGUGCCAGCAGCCGCGGUAAUACGGGAGUGGCAAGCGUUAUCCGGAAUUAUUGGGCGUAAAGCGUCCGCAGGCGGCCCUUCAAGUCUGCUGUUAAAACGUGGAGCUUAACUCCAUCAUGGCAGUGGAAACUGUUGGGCUUGAGUGUGGUAGGGGC